UUUGGUUUGCAUUAUUCACUCAACUCAUAACGAGUUGUAUGAAAAUGGCAAAACUUUUGUAUGCCAUCCUCCUCCUCCUUUUGGUUGUUGCUAUCUCAGAAAGUGAAGCCACCAUCACCAUCGGACCUCCAACAAGACUAUGUGAAAGGUUGAGUAACACAUUUUCGGAGAGAAUAUGCAUCAUCGGAAGCAACUGUAACGCAAGGUGUUUAGAGGAAAGAGCGGUUAGUGGCGCUUGUCGCUUGCGUCAAGGGAGAUUAAGUUGCGUUUGCUUCUUUAACUGUUCCAACACACCACCUCCUCCUUCACCACCGGCCUCACCGCCGCCCCCUCCUCCACCCGUAUCACCACCCGCUCCUCCACCCGCCUCACCGCCCCCACCUCCACCUGUGUCACCGCCUCCUCCACCACCCGUCUCGCCGCCCCCACCUCCACCUGUGUCACCACCUCCUCCACCACCCGUCUCGCCGCCCCCACCUCCACCAAGCUCACCGCCUCCUCCACCACCAAGCUCACCACCACCACCUCCACCCGCCUCGCCGCCCCCUCCACCACCACCUGCCUCAC
rnacentral:lncRNA from 1 species